ACCAAGUGUUGGCUGUCCAGAUGAUUGAAUCUCAUUUGUUAGCAAGGGCCGGGCAAGACCGGUGCCAGCCGCCGCGGUAACACCGGCGGCCCGAGUGGUAACCGUUUUUAUUGGGUCUAAAGGGUCCGUAGCCGGUCUGAUCAGUCCUUUGGGAAAUCUGGCAGCUUAACUGUCAGGCUUCUAAGGGAUACUGUCAGGCUUGGGACCGGGAGAGGUAAGGGGUACUCCAAGGGUAGGAGUGAAAUCUUGUAAUCCUUGGGGGACCAUCUGUGGCGAAGGCGCCUUACCAGAACGGGUCCGACGGUGAGGGACGAAAGCUAGGGGAGCAAACCGGAUUAGAUACCCGGGUAGUCCUAGCUGUAAACGAUGCUCGCUAGGUGUCAGGCACGGUGCGUCCGUGUUUGGUGCCGUAGGGAAGCCGAGAAGCGAGCCACCUGGGAAGUACGGUCGCAAGGCUGAAACUUAAAGGAAUUGGCGGGGGAGCACUACAACGGGUGGAGCCUGCGGUUUAAUUGGAUUCAACGCCGGAAAACUCACCGGGUGCGACAGCAACAUGUAGGUCAGGCUGAAGGUCUUACCUGAAUCGCUG
rnacentral:rRNA from 1 species